rnacentral:lncRNA from 1 species
GCUUACCGAGAUGAACACAGUAUGCAAGUUCAACUAUUGAAUUUGACAAGAUAAACCGUCUAGACAAGGGUAGCAUCAUUCUUAAACCGCUGCAAGGAUACAUACUAUAUAUGACACAUAUGACAUACUAAUUUUAUCAUCAUAAUUAAUAUUGAAAUCCUCUCAAUUCUACCUCACAUUUACACUCCAAUCUCCCUCACAUUCUCGCUCAAAAUCCUCUCCAUUUUCUACUUCACAUUCUAGCAAAUAAACUAUCCAUCUCCAUUUUACACAUCAAGUUGUUUUAACUAAUACGAAUCGUAUAUAACAAGCAAACUAUCCAUCACAUUCUAUCUUAAGAACCUCUUCAUUCUCCCUCUUUCUAACAAACAAACUCAUUUUUCUCCCUCUCUAAAGUAUAAAUGAAAGCAUAAAAAGAGGAUGAAGUAACUAACCUUCACAACACUUUGGAUGAGUGAAAUUCCCACGAAAAUGAGGGGAAAAAAAAUUCGGACAGCACCUCCCCUAGGCUAUCUUCGGCGCCACCGGAGAGUAGGUGAAGCUCUCUAUCUUUGUGGAGUGGACUGGCUUGGGCUGGAGGAGGAAGAAAGACCUUUGUCUUGGAAUUUAAUGGGGGAUAAGUUUUUAUCCUGGUUAAAAACUCCAACCGGGACAAAAAGAAACACCUUUUAUCCCGGUUGAAAUUUACUCCCGGUUGGUAAUUCCAACCGGGAUAAAAGGGACCCUUUUAUCCCGGUUGAAAUUACCAAUCGGGGCUAAACAUUUUGUCCCGGUUGGUAACACUACCAACCGGGACAAAAGGGCCACCCUUUUAUCCCGAUUGGAGGCUCCAACCGAUAAAAGGGGCACGCCACUUACGCUUGGAUUCUGGCCAUUACAACCGAAACUAAAGCGAGGCUUUUAGUCUCGGUUGCAAAUGCCAACCGGGAGUAAAGCUCCGCUCCAUUCCAGCCUACCGUGGCGCAUCUCCUUUUAGCCCGGGCUAACUUUAAACCAGGACAAAAGGGAGCACAUGGAAGGUCAAUUCUGUACCAGUGGUAUAUCCCUUAUUUAUAAAAAAGAAAUCCGUGGAUGGCAACAGGUAAGAAAUGAAACCGAAGCAUCUUUUCUUUUUCUUUUGCGUGAAGCAAAAAGUAUGACACAAAGGAAUAUGCCUUUCACGCCUCAGCAGCUCACCUACCAGCAUACAGAUUCCAUGGCAUCUUCGAGCAAACUUUAAUUUAAUGGGUACGGUGCUGCACUGCUGUCACUUUUUAUAGAUGGAAAAAAAAGAUUGAAGGUUUUGCAUUUAAAGAGAAUAUUCUUUACAUAUCUCUCUCUUGAAAACUCACAAGUAAAACUAGCCUCCAUGUUAGCGACAUAUUAUAUAUAGACUUAGAAAAUGAAGAAAAAGAAAAAUGCGGAUAACGAGAUAUCCUCAUGAGAACAUGAUGGUUUCAACCUUGCAAUUAUCAAGAUGGAAGCAAUGCAAUCCUAGGAUCCUCUAAUGCUGUAAAGGUAAAAAACGAUUCACGAAAGCAGCUUUGGUUGGACCCCCACGUCAGAUGGAACUGGUCGUGAAGCUCUCUCGCCUAAGAGGUUCUAACCAUCUAAAUCCCUCGUUAACUUUUCUAGAUAUAUAGUAUUUGAUACGUAUCUAGAUAUGAUUUAUAUUUAGAUGUACAAUAAAAAAAUAUACAUCUAAAGAAGUCAAAACAAAUUAAAAUUUAGGAUAGUUGGAGUACUAUUUAUCAAAAAAAUACAUUGUGGCACCCAUGUAACUAAAUAAAAUAAAUAAAAUAGAGGCCAAAGGGUAGAUUAGUCGUAAUUCUCUUCUUAGAUUACUCCAACUAUAGGCACAGAGGCACAUUGGCAUCGAUCUUAAGCUAAGGCCGGUGCGGCGUCAACGUGCGUGUGUGAACCUUCCAUUUCCGCAAGCAUCCGCGUAUGUAUCAGCUAGAAUUAGUUUCCUUGACCCCAUUGGCUUUGACUUCAUAAUCCCGCGAGCCUGAUCCAUACGGGAUGGCUUGUAGCAACAAGUGAAUCUUGCUUGCCCACCACUUCUACCCCUUGACCCCAACCACCGGCCUUGGGCACAUUGGUGACUCCCACACAUUUGCCCAACCACACAUGGACAUGGUGGUCCUCUACCCUUCGCUUGUAUAGUUGCGUCCAAACACCAACCACCGCAUCCUUCUCAUCAGGCCUUUCAAACAAAUCUAAGCCAGCAAGAAAUCAGCUAGCUCCAAUCCGCCGCCCGGGGGGACGAUGAAGAGGGAAGGAUGGCAGCAGGGCACCGUCAGGAUCAACCGCAGCAAGCUACUCAGGGUCGCCGCCGCAGCCAACUGCGAGGAGACGGCGGUUGGGGCGAUGGCGCAUGGGAAGGCGCCGGUCAAGCCGACGAACGCGUCCAAGACCACGGGCAAGUGCCGGCGGCCGCGCAGCGCGAGCUGCCACUACCACCCGGUUUCCAAGGCCCGAGACAAAACCAAGGGCGCGCACAAGUUGCACGCCUGCGACGUCGCGCUCAACCACCGCCUCGUGUCCUGGCGCGUCGUCGACGGUGGUAGCGCGGGGAGCUCGGGGAUCCCAGACUACAAGGGUACCUCGGCAUCAUCCUUGCUGGCCUACCUGGCCGGCAGCGGCAGCAGCUGGCACGAGGACGACGAAGACGGUGGCUCUCUUGAAACUGCCCCGCUGGUCAACGGUGGGCUCCCUGACCUGUACGAUAUCAUCGUCGGCCGUCGCGCCGACGUCACCAUGCUAGGCAGGCAAGAAGCGGAUCUGGCGCGUGCCACUGACAUUGCAGUAGGAGAUACCGACGCAAUUGAAGAGCAGGAGCAGGAUAGCGAUGAUGUCAAGGAAGAUGGGGAUGAAGAAGACAUGGGGUUCUGCAUGGUUGGCAUCACGAUCGCAGUGGAGUUCUCCGACGGAGAGGAGGAUUGGAUCGUGGUGGACGAGAUCUGAUCCGAUCUCGUUCACUUUGCAUGCCAAAUUGCAAAUAAGACAUGCCAGACGAGGCCAUCCAUUCCUCUGGCUGUAAGCUGUCCUGUCUCUCCCAUCUGCAGGUGUUGUGUGUAUACUGCCUGCUCUGUUCGCUGUGUCCAUGCAUGUGUAUAUAUGGUGACUGUUAAUCUGAUCGUGAUCAUGAACUAUGCAUUCAAAACCUGAUUUUCUGAUUUGUGAAUAAUAAAGUGGAGAAGUUGAUCUUCUUCAGUGGUGAUUCAUCUCUGAUUCAAUUGCAAAAAUGGGGAGAUGCCUGCAUGCUGAUCUGAUGAUUUCAAGGUGUUCUUGUCCCUGUUCCUUUCAUUUUCUGCUGGAAGUCCUGUUUUUAGUUGGAUAACCUUUUGAUUCGGAAAAAAGUUGAUAAAUUUUAAUCUUCAAGGUAACGCUUUUUUUUUUGUUCUGAGACACACAAACAUGGAGAAGGAUGGAUUCCGAAAUUCCUCUCAUUGUUUUCUUGUCAAUUCACCACAAGUUCGGCCUUCUGUGCAAAUGAUCGUCCUGUUUUCAAGUAUCACGCACUAUUUUUUUGGUGGCCCGCAGAACUUCUGCUGGUGGUUGUGAUGUCUAGACUUUCUUUUUGAACAGUUUGACAUGUAUCUGCUCUACCAACCCUGCUUUCCGAAGUUUUUCCCAUGCAACGAUUGAAUCACUGUCUUUUUCGGUUGUACAUUUCGUUUAACUUGAAAGGAACGCAUUUUACUUCUAUGUUGAGCUGUCUACGAAUAGUUGUCACCAAAUUUCAUCAGAUGCAUUGUUAUUACGAAUACUUGAUGGCUGUAUUUCGACGAUUCAAAUGAAACACAUCAUUUUAAGGAAUAUGAUGGUUUAAGCAAUUGAAAUUUUUGUAUUAAGGGACCUGUUACGCCUCAAAGAUCUCAUGAAAGCAACAUAUAUUAACGCUGCAACCGCAGUUAAUUACUCCAUCCGGUGUGAGUAAAGUUAAAUAAGAUUAUGAUGUGUACCUGUGCACAGCAACCCCUCUGAUUUGACCAACAUUUAGGGCCUGUUUGGCACGGCUCCACUCCAUAACUCCAGCGACUCCAGCAAAAAAAUCAGCCAAACACGUCAACUCCAAAACUCCAUGGAGCUGCCAACUCCAUGGAGCUGCCAACUCCAUGGAGCUGUAGUGCAAAUGGGGCUGGAGUUUUGGAGCACCCCUUUUGCUGCUCCAAAAUGUCCUCUUUUGAAUCUCCUCGUGGAGUUGGUGGGUAAUUACCCACCACUGCCACUGAUUACACAAAAAUAACGUUUCAUCUGUUUGCCCUCUCGCCUCUCUUCCAUUCUCCCGUGCAGCUCUGUUCUUCCAUCUUCACCCGCCCGCCGUAGCCCCUGCCGGCGGCUAGGGUUGCGCCGGCGGCUAGGCUCGGCACCGCCGUAGCCCCUGCCGGUGGCCGGCUGCAGCGCCCCACCGCCGCCGCAGGCUGGCGGAGCCCCGCCGCCAAGCGCCCUGGCCCGAGGAGAUCUGCCCGCCCGCCUAGUCCCGCCGGCCGCUGCGCCCCUAGGUCUGUCACCGGAGCGCCCCACCGCCAGCCCCUAGGCCCGUCGCCGGUCGCAGCUCCCCGCCGCAGGCUGCAGCUCCCCACCGCCGGCCGUCGCAUCCUGCCGCGGAAGCCCGUCGCGGACCGUCGCGCCCCACUCCGCCGAAGGCCCGCCGCCGGCCGAAGGCCCCGCCGCCGAAGGCUGCCGCCAGUCGCUGCGCCCCGAGGCCGGCCAUCUCGCCCCGCCGCCGAAGGCCGCCGCCGGCCACAGCGCCCCGCCGCCGGAGGAGGUCCCCCGCCGCCCGUUCAGAAGGUAUGCUUCCUGAUGGUACUUUUUUGAAGUAAAAUCAGAGGCCAUGGUGUGAUUGUACUCGUGAGGCCAAUUCUGUUCGUGAAAUUCAUGUCCUGCUCAUAGCACACCAUGAUUUGCAUGCAUUUCGUUUUGGAAACAUGAACUGGGUUGAAUCUUUGCGAGUUCUUGUUACUGAACCUGUCCAGGAAGAGGUCAAAGCAGGCAGGGGCGUAGUACUCGUGCCUGAGUGGGAAUGAAAAGCUAGAUGUAUUGUAUAUCUUCCCAAAUGGGAAUGAAAAGCUAGAUGUAUUCAUAAAUUGUUAUUUUCUGCCUUGUUAUUAUUCUUCAAAGAUAUUUGCAUGCCUAGCCCGGUUUUUGUCAUUCUCCGUUAAUCUGUUGGGUCAUCUGUGAUCUGUAUAUACCGUACCGGCCCAAGCCUCCGGCGACGGGCCUCCGCUCCGUCAGAAGCCCGGCCUAUUUCCUGGAGCAAAUUUGGAACAACUCCAACAGUUACAGCCUCAUAACAAUGCUUGUGCGGCUUAACAACACCCUCUUAUCAUCUCUUUGUUAUGACUUCUGCUCUUUCUAUUGUUGUCACAACAAAUAUUUUACUAGAUGUUAAUAGCAAUUAACAUAGAAACCUGAAUUUUGCAUCACUGUUCUGACUAAUAAGAACUUGGAGGAAAUUCGCAACAAAAUUUAUGAUAUGUUUCUAAUCAUUGUCAAUUAUUACAGAGAGCGCAUAUCAAAAACACAUCAGGAGGAGAUCCCCCGCCGUCCCUGGCAUCUCGAGGAGUUCCGCCGGCCACAAGGUAUGGCAAAAACUUUUUUUUCAUUAACUGAAAUGCAUCAGGAGUACACCUUUGAUUGUGCCUUUGAGGUUGUUGUGUGUGUAUGAAAUUGAUAUACUCUAGUGCUGUGUGUGUAUAAAAUUGAUAUACUCGAGGCCUUCUAAUAUAAAAUUUGUGAGUUCGAUAGAUGCCAGAAAUUGAUUGGAAUUCGGAGAACACUCGAGUGUUGUGUGUGUUGUUGGCCGAACAAGUUGAAAAAGGAAAUCGGCCAAACACACACUUGAAUGCACUUGGUUAUGCUGAGGUUGAGAAUGGGUUCAAGGAAAGGACUGGAAUUGUGGCUACCAAGGGUCAGAUCAAGAACAAACGGGACAAGUUGAAGGAAGAUUUCAAAGCAUGGAAGAAACUAAUGCUAAGGCAAACAGGGACUGGUUGGGAUCCUAUAAGGAAGACUAUUGCUAUGGAUGAUGAAUGGUGGAAAAAAGCUAGAGCUGUAAGUUGGUUAAAAAAUUUUGCUAUAUUUUUUUUGCAUAUGUCAAACCUGUUGAUAAUACUUAUAAUAAUAUUAUUAUUAUGUGCUUAUUUCAGGAGAUUCCAGGUUGUGGCAAGUUCAAAAAGAAGGGCCUUGAGAAUGAAGAUGAAUUAGCCAAGUGUUUUGCUGACAUUACUACUAUUGGUAUUGAUCAUUGGUCUCCUCAUGUUGUGAAUGUUGAAGCAACCGAAAAUGUUGAUGUGACACAAGAUGAGGCAACCAAUUUUGAGCCAGAAGGUGAUGAUUUCAUUCCUGAAACACAAGAGGAGGAUAUUGGUAUUUCUCCUUCACCUGCGAGUGGCAAGAGACUGGCAAGGCCUGUUGACAGGAGUGGUAAAAAAGCGAAGUCUGGAAAUGCAUUCCUAAUUCAAGAAGCAGUAACAAGUAUGGCAAGUUCAGCCAAUGAAUAUAUUUCGAUGAGACAUGGAAAAUAUUCUAUUGAGGAAGUGAUGGAGGUUGUGAUUGCUUGUGGGGCCGGCUAUGAUAGCAAUGAACAUUACAUGGCGUCUGAACUGUUUGUGAAGAAGGAGCAAAGGGAGAUGUUCAUGACCUUGCCUACUAAUGAGAUUAGGUUCAAUUGGCUUAGGAGGAAGUACAAUGAUAAAUAUGAAAAAUAGAAAUUGGCUUAGUGAGAGUGAUGUCAUUUGUGUAUGCUACUAUUUUAUUUUUGUCGCAUGUGUGGUACAUUUUAUUUUAUUGCAUUUUAUUUAUGUAUGACAGUUGUAUCUUACAUUUCAUUUAUGUCAAUGUUCACAGAUGUCUUCAAGUGAGUCUGAUGAAUCUAGUGAUUCUGAUGGUGAAUAUUUUUUUAAAAUGGUUGAGAGCUGUGGUAAGCUAGCACAAAGUUAUCAUGACUCAUAUAUGGAUAAGGCACCGCCGAGAUUUAUGUUUUCACAACAGAGUGGAAUGGGAUGGCUGAUGGAGACGGUAAACACUCCAAGGGAGUGCCAUUGAAUGCUUCAGAUGAAUGAGGUUAUUUUUCAGGAUCUUCAUGAUGUGUUGGUUGAGAGGUACGAAUUAAAACCAUCGAAGCACAUGAAUACUCUUGAAAUGUUGGCCAUUUUCCUAUUCACAUGUGGUGGGUGUGAGUCAAAUAGAAGAGGACAGAAUAAGUUCAAACACUCAGGUGAAACCAUUAGUAGAAAAUUUCAUGAAGUUCUAAAUUGUGUGGUUGCCAUGGCACAAGAUUUCUUGAGACCAACAGAUCCUAAUUUUCGCAAUGUGCACAAGAGGAUUAGGAAUGACAAGAGAGCAUACCCACACUUUAAGGAUUGCAUUGGUGCACUUGAUGGAACCCAUAUUCGUGUGUAUUUAUCACUGGAAGAACAAGUGAGAUAUAUUGGUAAGACUGGAAUUGCAACUCAAAAUGUGCUUGCCGUUUGUGAUUUUGAUAUGCGCUUCACCUAUGUGGCUGCGGGUCAACCGGGUUCUUUGCAUGACACUAGUGUAUUGUACCAUGCAUUGGAAGCAGAUGUAAAUGUCUUCCCACAUCCUCCUCAAGGUAAAUAUUUUUCCUUAUGUUCCUUUUCAUAUUUGUAUGCACAAACUUAUUUUAUUUUACAUAUGUGUAGGCAAGUACUAUGUUGUAGAUGCGGGCUAUCCUAAUCGUCCGGGGUAUUUGGCUCCAUACAAGGGUGAAAGGUACCACUUACCCGAGUGGCAUCGAGGUAUGGAACCAAAUACUCCAAAAGAGAAGUUCAACCGUAUACACUCAUCUGUUCGUAAUGUUAUUGAGCGGUCGUUUGGAGUGUUAAAAAUGAAAUGGCAAAUCCUUUACAAGAUGCCCGGUUAUUCAAUGGUCACACAAAAGAAGAUUGUUGCUGCUACUAUGGUUCUACACAAUUUCAUACGCGAACAUGCUAGCAUUGAUGUGGACUUUGCUAAUUUUGAUAGAGAUCCUACCUACAUGCCUACUAUUCCGGAAAGAUACAACAAGUAUGCUGUGUCUCAACAUGCCUCCGAUGGAUCAACUUCGGAAUCAAGCUUUGUGACUAUGGACACCUUUCGUGAUAGUAUGGCUACAUCAAUUGCCCUAGCAUGGAAUUAGUGCAAUGAUUAUUGUAACGACCUUAUUUUGGAACUAUGAAUUUAUUUCGAAAUUUUAAAUUUUUGGAACAUGUAAUUUUUAUUAUUAUUUUGGACUUCAAUGCAUGUAGUUUCAUUUUAUAUUUGUGAUAAGUAGUUCAAGUCGAACCAGGGGCAAGAAAGUCAAUCUACCCUCAAACUCCUCUUUUCUGGAGCUAGGGACACCCUCCCAGCCAAACACCCUCACCAGACAGCUCCAACUCCACCCAGAGCUGGCUCCACCUGGAGUUCUGGAGUGGAGCAGCUCCACCCAGAGUUGGAGUCAUGCCAAACAGGGCCUUAAUUAGUACGAGCUGGUAAUACAAAUAUGUGUGUUUCCAGUAGAUCAAGUUUAAUUCAAGAUCAGUUGCAUCAGAUUACCGUAUUUCACGAUCAGUUGGAAGCUAAAACAUGUAAGUACUAGAAGGCGAUCUGUGAUUCUCGAAUGGCUGAUAGUCGGAACUAGCUGUUCUGCUACACACCUUCCCACUACUUAGAGAACUGAACUUUGAUCCUCGAUAAAAAUCUCGGAUGAUUUUGGAUCCGGAACUAAAGAGCAUUAGUCCUAACAAUUGGGACUAAAGAGCCUCUUUAGUCCCGGUUGUAACGGUCAUCAUCCACCGAGGGAAUCUGGUGGCUAUUUAGUCCUGGUUGGUAACACCAACUAUAAUCCGGUUGGUGUUACCAACUGGGAUUAAAUGCUAACCAUAUAAAACACAGUGUCUUCCUCCCCGAGCCCCAACCACUCAUUGACCGAGAGCUCGGGUUCUUUCUUGUCCAUGGCGACUAGGCAAGCUUAGGAGAGGUGCUGCUCGAUUUUUUCGCGAUUUCUUUGGGAUUUCACUCAUCCAAAAUGUUAUAUAUUGUUAGUAUGCUUGAGAGAUGGAGAAAUUUGAAAUAUUUAGAACGAGAGAGAAUGGAGAGAUUUUUUAUUUAUAGAUUCAAUUGAGCUACAAUUUUUUGGAUACUUUACAUGUUAUGCUUCGUAUUAGUUAAACAACUUGAUCAAUAUUAGGUAGGGGAAAAUAGAGUAAAUGUGUCUAUAAUAUUUGGUCCUUGCAAACAUGAGAUAAAUAAAUUAUAGAUCAAAGAAAUAGAAUUUGGUCCUUCAUAAUUUACUAAUAUAUCAUAGUGGAGAUGGUGGGAGUAAUCCUCGUUCCUCUCGAGGCAAGGGAAAAAUUCCAGUUAACCCUCGUGAGAAGCUAAAGAAAAAAGAAGCGUUGGGAGAGCAAUGCUUCGAUAUUUAUAAAAAUGUCAUGAAGAUACUGUUGUGGCAGGUCAAGAACCUCCAUUUGGUGGUCGUUAUGCUCCACCACUCUAUCUCUGAGUACAUUUAUAAACCGAGUCCGCACCUUCAUGGUUGCAUUUUCAAUACCACUAAGAUCAUAUUCGAUCAAACUGUAACCAUAUACCUGAUAUAGUCUUUCUGCUUCAACUAGUCCAGCUUCCCAACCAAAUAGAAUAUCAGAAUUAAUAUAGAAUAGUUGACACAUCUUCUCAUGCAUUGAUUCCCAUUUUACAUAGAUGGAGUCUCUUUCUCUGCUGCUAUAAUCGGCAAUACCAAUUCUGUGAAUUUGCACCAUAUGCUUCACGACUUUGUUAUACAGAGAUGCUUUCGCAUUUAUCGGUGUUUACACCCGAUAACCUACCGAGGGGGUGCUCGAGGUAGUGUUUAGUAUGUGGGGCUCACCGAGAUCAGGAACUCGAAGGUGAACUCGAACACACGAUUUAGAUAGGUUCGGGCCACUAGAUUGCGUAAUACCCUAGUAGAAUACCCCUCAAUGUAACCGAAAGCAACUGGGUCAUCAACAUGUGGCAGUCAUGGGCCUUGAGAUUUGUGAACUUCUUUUCUUUCAUAUUUAUUAUUCCUUUUAUAUUCGAGGAGUACCCAGACGGAACCUUGAUAUUAUUCAUGCAUUCAAACAUUCUAUCAUUCUCUUCCUUACUGAGAGUGUAACUGGCAGGAUGUAAGUAGUGUUGUUCGUUAUCUUUCUUUUCCGGAUGUAGGUCAUCUCAUUGCUUCGUACGUUUCAGGUCCUAUUGUGCUUCCAAUGUAUCUUUUGAGUUCCCAUAACAACCCAUGAAGCCUAGCACGUUCACGCAAACAUUCUUUGUCAGGUGCAUCACGUCUACUGCGUUGCGAACCUCUAGGAUUUCCCAAUAAGGUAGCUCCCAAAAUAUUAACUUCUUCUUCCCCAUGGGUGCACGUCCGUUAUCGUCAUUCGGAACAGGUUCGCUACCAAGAACCUUUCCAAAGACUACCCUUACAUCCUUUAUCAUCUCAAAUACACGCUUUCCACUAUGGUGUGCAGAUUUUUUACGAUGUUUUGUCGCUCCUUUGAAAUGCAUCCCUUUCUUUCUUAACGGGAAGUUAGUAGGAAGAAAUCUACGAUGACCCAUAUACAUGACAUUCCUACAGUGUUUCAAAUACAUGAUGUCUGUGUCGUCUAAACAGUGGGUGCAGGCCUGAUAUCCCUUGUUUGUCUAUCCUGAAAGGUUACUCAGUGCAGGCUAAUCAUUGAUGCUUUAUGAACAACAAUGCUCAUAGGUCAAAGCUUUCUUGUUUAUCCUCAUCCCACACAUGUACAGCUUCUUCCUUCCAGAGCAGUAGAAGUUUAUCAACCAGUGGUCUUAGGUACACGUCGAUGUCGUUGCUGAGUUGUUUUGGGCCUUGGAUAAGCACCGGCAUCAUAAUGAACUUCUGCUUCAUGCACAACUAAGGAGGAAGGUUGAACAUACAUAGGGUCAUAGGCCAAGUACUAUGACCACUACUCAACUCACCGAAUGGAUUGAAUCCGAUUGAAUCCAUCAGUUCUUAAACUAAACCUUAUGUUCCUUGCAUCACUUUCAAAGUCUAGACCCCAUCCACGGGGUGUCUCAGCAUCUCAUCUUGCCUAUGUUCUUCUUUGUGCCAUCGCAUCAAAUUAGCAUUCGCCUUGUUUCUGAACAAACACUUCAAACAUGGUAUUAUAGGGAAAUACCACAUCACCUUCACGGGAACUCUCUUCGUGGGAGACUGCCCCUCGACAUCACCUGGAUUCUCUUGCGUGAUCUUAUACCGUAGCGCUUCGCACACAAGACAAGCAUCCAAUUUCUCAUAUUCAUCACCACAAUAGAGGAUAUAGUCAUUAGGGCCUGCGUGUAUCUUUUGAACCUCCAAUCCCACAGGGCAAACAAUCUGUUUAGCUUCAUAUGUUGUGGAUGACAAUUCAUUAUUCUCGGGAAGAAUGUUCCUUAAAAUUUUCAAUAUCCCCUGAAAUGUCAUAUCGGACACACCAUUUUUAACCUUCCAUUGCAGAAAUUCUAGUGUGGUAUCCAGUUUUUUAUGCCCUUGCUUGCAAUCUGGGUACAUUAUUUUUUAUGAUCAUCUAUCAUGCGACUCCAACUUUUCUGAUUCUUUCUCAAUUCCGCAAUCUCUAUGUGCAUCCCAUAUCACCUGACCAAGAUCAUCAAUAGGAUCAUCUUCUACAAACUCAUCUUCACCAGCCUCGCCCAUUAUAGUAUCUGCAAAAGCUUGGCGUCCAGCCCAGUCCGAAAUGUUGUUAUCAUCCGUCUCUUUUUCGCCAUCUUCCAUUAUAACCCCUCUUUCGUCAUGCUUGGUCCAAACCAAAUAGUUAGGCAUGAAACUUUAUUUGAAAUAUUGGCUAAGAGCAUUUCCCCAGGAAGAGUAGUCCUUCUUAUUACUACAUUGAAAGCAUGUACAACAUAUGAACCUGUUCUCUGGUUUGUUCGCUUUGGCCACUUCGAGAAAAUAAUGCAAGUCAUCAACAAACUUCUUGGUUCGUCUAUCCACGUUAUACAUCCAUUGUCAGUCCAUCUGCAUCGUAUUACGUGGGAAAUAGACAUAGGUCUUUGUAUUAGAUAAAGAACUUGAUCAAUAUUAGGUCUUGAUCAAUAUUAGGUAGGGGAAAAAAUAGAGUUAAUAUGAUUAUAAUAUUUAGGCCUUGCAAAAAAUAUUAGAUAAAUAAAUUAUUACGUGAGAAAUGGACAUAGGUCUUCAAAUUAGAUAAAAAACUUGAUCAAUAUUCAUAAUUUACACUAAUCAACUUUUAUAAAGAUAAAAAUAAUUCACGUGAAAAUUACAAUAUUCAACAUUCAUAACAAUCACUAAAGAUACAUAUAAAAAUGACACUCAUAAUAAGACAAUAAAGAUACAUAUACACUAAAGAUUACAGACGCUCCAUAGCACACUUCACGUAGUCAGUUAUCCUAGACUAAUGGUACAACAUAGCAGAAUGUUCGCCCUCCAAGCCAUCUCUGCACUUAACUCAAUCUUCUCUGAAGUCUAUCGAGAGUCACCUCCACAUAUCCAGUACCAGAAAAUAAUGGUACAAUAGAAGAUCUUUGAAUCCACAUACUCGGGUUGAAUAUCAUAAAGAAAUCUUGAAAUAAUUAUCCAAACGUCUUUUGGAGCAAGUGCCACAUUCUCAUAAUAGAAGUGUGGUGGCAUACACACAAUAGCUCAUCCAGGCGAAAGAUCUAUUCACCGAGCAUGGCCCAUGGUGGCAAGCCAAAACCAACCAAAAGCCGCUAGAUCAAGGUCAGUGAACAGAUAUUUGCCUGAAGAGGAUAUUGUACCAGUAUACUUCUAUUAUGAGAAUUAAUCUCCAAAAGAUGUUUGGAAUAGUAUUUCAAGAUUCUUUUAUGAUAUUCAGCCUGAAUUUGUAGAUUCAAAGCUCUUUUGUUCUAACAUUAUUUUCUGGUACUGGAGGAACGGAGGUGACUCUCCAUAGACUUCAGAGAAGAUUGAGUUAUGUGCAGAGAAUAGCGUAAGCACAUUUAUACCAUGUGCAGACACUGUUAACUAGGAUUGGAGGAACGGAGGUGGUACAUCCGUUGCCGAUCCAUAUGCAUCGUAUUACGUGAAAAAUGAACAUAGGGUUUCAUAUAGGAUUAUUGUUUAUAAUAUUUAGUUCUUGCAUUAAACAUGAGAUAAAUAAAUUAUUGGUCAAAGAAAUAUAAUUAUUAUUAAAUUAGAGUGACAUGAAAAAUGUAGCAAUGACCAAAUUCUAUUUUCUUACCCCUACAAUUUAUUUACCUUAAAUUUUAUUGAAUGUCUAAAUAUUAAAAACACAUUUACUCUAUUUUUUCUCAUACCUAAUAUUGAUCAAGUUCUUUUAACUGAUACAAAUCAUAUAUAACAAGCAAUCUAUCCAUCAAAUUCUAGCUAAAAAAUAUGUAUAAAUAAAAAUCAUCUCCAUUCUCCCUCAUUCUAGAAGAACUUGUUUUUCUCCCUCUCUAAAUCAUAAAACAAAGCAUAAUAACAAUAAAUGAAGGGAGAAUGAAGUAGCUAACCUUCACAACACUUUGGAUAAGUAAAAUCCCCAUGAAAAUGAGAAAAAAAAUUCAGGCAGCACCUCCUGUAAGGUUGCUUGCUCGCCACAAAGAGGAGGACAAAGUGUCUUUGGUGGAGCGGAGUGGCUUGGGCUGGUGAGGAAAAGGAGCUCUCGGUCUGGUAAUUUAAUAGGGGAGGAGAUUUUAUCCCAGUUGGAAUAUCUCGGUUGGAAAUUCCAACCGGAACAAAAUACCACCCCUUUUGUCUCAGUUGGUGGUUUUGUCCCUGUUGGAAAUUCCAACUGAGAAAAAAGGGUCCGGCCGUUGGUACGAUAUUUCUAGUCGUUACAACCGGGACUAAGGGGGACUUUAGUCCCGUUUGGUAUUUACAACCGGGACUAAAACUUCUCCCGCGAUGGCCUUUGGUGGCACAUUUUUUAUCAAGACUAAAGCCACUUUAGUCACAGGUACAAUGUUAAUCGGAACUAAAGAGGUUGGAUGGAAGAUCAAUUCUCUACUAGUGGAUGUCACAUCUGCAACCUUGUGAUGAAAAAUAAGUAGUCAAACAUGCAUGCAGGUGUGCUACUUCUAGUUCAUGUGCGCUAGUGCAAGAAUGGGAAGACUACUAAGCUCAUGUAAGAAUAAAUUACCAUUCUUGCGGAUCAGUGUCCAGGCCACCGUUCAGGUCCAGAGAGAACGCACCUGCACCACCACUCGUCGCGCGCCACCAAGCACAAGGAGCAGAUGACCUUGGCACUGCUGGAUGCGGUAGCGGAGUGGCAGAUCUUGGCAUGGCUUGUGUGGAACCCGGUGGCGCUGGGAACCAGCUGGAGAACCCCGGGGGCGGACCGGCGGAGCUUCUUACUGCUUGAAGCGACGACGCCAUCUGCCGCUUCGACCGGCGAGACAUCUGCUGCUUGUUAGCUAGGGAUUUUUACAAGAGCUCUGGGAAAAGAAGUAGAUGCAUCGAGAAGUUCAAUCGACUGCAGGAUAAGGCGAUCUGGUUUCGUAGGAGAAGAUUUGGCGGGCGAUCGCCCAUCCUUCGCGCCAACUAUCCUGCGCUCCGGCGAGGAAAAAACUCACUGGGGUAGGGGAACGGACGGCAGCGCCCGCACGGGAUUUAGAUUAACUCGAAUGGCCCACAAAAAUCGACAAGUUGGUCGCAAAAUCGGCUCCAGUGCAUGGAUUAAUAUUCCCGUGCUAGAGCUUGGCGCGACAAGGUCGCCCUCUCUUCUCCUUUCUCUCUCAUCCACAUAGGAUUUUACUGACAUCACAAGUGAUAUGGUCUUAUUGUACCACUCUAAAGGAGGAGCAGCACGAAUCAGGGCAAGCGAGAUCCUGUGAUCUUAUUGUACGACUCUAAAGGAGGAGCAGCACGGACGAGGGCAAGCGAGAUCCCGAGCGAGCUGCUCGCCGGUUGGGGAGGCGCGGCAGUGGCCGGGCAUCACCGGCCGUGUGGCAGACGAGCGCUGCGCUCGGUCGGCCACUGACCGAGGCAGCCAUGGUUCGUUUUCAACACUUUGGUCAAGUGUUGCAGCCAUCUUUGAUCGCUAAAAACUGAAGUUUUCCAUACAUAACCUCUACUGAAAUUCAAUACAAAAGUUGUAGUUUAGAUCAUUCCCUGAAACUUUCGGUAAGGGUGAAAGUUCAAAAGUCCAUUGGUCUGGAAACUAUUCAAGCUCGAACUUCGAACAGACUAAGGUUUUCCCUGAAUUUUCAGGGAUUCCAACGUGGUUUUUACCCAAGUUUCAAUAGAGAUUUGAAUGCUAAAAUGUUGUCAAAACAUACCAAUUUUGUUCUGCAUGUCAGUUUCUAGUAUAUAACAAGUUCUAUAAAGAAAUUUUUGAAUGUUCAUAUACAAAAUUGAGAGAAAUCAAAAUAGUUUCGUGGCAUGUUUGGGCUGUUUUCCGGACUUGGAAGUUUUUCAGGUGAUGACCAAAACAACGGCUUGACUAGAUUUUGACUAAAAUUUUGAGCAUCUAAACAAAGUUUUCAUAUAACCACAACAUACCUAGAUGAAAAUAUAUACUCCAUACUUUAAUUCUUAUGUUGGUCAAAAGUCAAAUGUUUUGGAAAAAUAGCUUUUAAAUAGCGGUCAAACAUAGCAAAAUUGAAUUUAAUCCACACUAGUUUCUCUUCUUUUUAGUUCAAAUGAACUAUUUGACUUGUGUCAACAUUUAAAGAUGUUAAUGUUCCAAUUUUGGUUUGUUUGUCAUUUUUAACUGUAUUUGAACAGAAAUAUCAUAUUUUUCACAUCUCACCAUUUUUAUUAAUAUUUAAUCACUAUUUAGCUUAAUUCCUUCUUUAAUUUCAUUCUGAACGGUAAAACCACACCAUUUGUGCAACAAUGCUCAUAGAAAUUUAAUCAUACCAAUAUGCACACAUAAUUAUGCUAAUGAUCAUGAUUAUGCAUAUGAUUAGUCCUUAAUCACUAUGCCAACACCAUAGAUGUUACAACCCUUCCCCUCACUACCGGAAACAACAAGGUUGUCGAGUGCCUGAGGCACUCGGCAAAGGCCGAAAAACUCUCGGCAAAGAGUUCGCCGAGUGUAACACUCGGCGCACGGCACUCGGCAAACUUUCCUACGGCAAACGUGGAGUUGCCAAGUGUCGAACAUCGAGCACUCGGCAAAUGAUUUGCCGAGUGUCAAAAAGCACUCGGCAAACAUUUUCGGAAAAAAAAAACAGACCACCGGUCACGGCCACGGCCACCACGCUGCCACCGGCCGCCACGCCGCUGCCGCCCGCCGCCGCCCGCCCGCUGUCGCCCACCCGCUGCCGCCCGCCGCUGCCGCCCGCCCGCCGCCGCCCGCCCGCUGCCACCCGCCCGCCGCCACGCGCCAGAUCCGGAGGGGAAAGAGGUGGGGGCCGCCGGAUCCGCGCCGGAGGGGAAGAAGGGGGCGCGGAUCCGGCCGGAGGGGAGGUAGCCGGGGAAGAAGGGGGCAGCGGUGGGGCCGGGGGCCGGGCGUCGGGCGGCAGCGAGGACGGGGACUGGGUGCUGGGCGCGGGACGGCGGGGUUGGGGGCGCCAGGCGGUGGGCCGGGGGGCGCCGGGCGCCGGGGCCGGGGGCGGGGGGGAGAGAGAAUGUGAGGAGGAUAGUGGCGGAGGAGAUAAGGCCGGGUGCUGCGGGCCGGGAUAAGGCUUGCGGCCGGGUGGGAAAAAAGAACGGUCGCCGAAUGUCCUAGGGUGACACUCGGUGAACGGUUGUUUGCCGAGUGUCUAACCUAGGACACUCGGCAAAGAUAUUUUAAAAAAAAUUAAAAAAUAUCUAACAGUUUUGAAAAAUUGUCAAAAAUUUACAUGAAAUAAUAUAUAUUCUCUAUUGACUGUACAAAAAGUUUUGUAGUCAAAUUAAAACUCGACCGUCAUUUUGACUCAAAAUCUUAUGCAAUCCUUCUCAACGUUACUAUUUUUCUUCUGAAAUGCUUCGGUUUGUAAACAUCGUACGUGACGAAAUGUGCAAAACAUUCUCAAUUUUUUUCCACAGCCCCACCUAUGAUAUCAUCACAUCAUGACAAAUCUCAUGAUUUUCAGACUUUCCUUGUUUUUUUUAUAAUUUAAAAAUACCACUGUCACACGUUCGUGGUCGUGUUUCCUGAACAAGAUGUUCGAAAUUUCUUGUCAUUUCGUGGGUCAGGUCUCAAAUUGGGCCGAAUAACAUGAACAUCAUUUUUCUACUCAUUUUGUUCCAUAAUUUGAAUCACUUGCAGUUCAAAUUUGACUUAUACCAAAAAUUUCCUUGAAAUGCAAUUAAUUAAAUAAAUAUAGCAAAUAAAUCCACAAAUACCAAAUCUUAACAUGGAGUACCACAUAUUGUAUGUGGGGAGUAGAAAAAAUUUCGUGGUGAAAAGAGAAAAAAAAUAUUUUUUUGCCGAGUGUCAAAAAAAACACUAGGCAAACCCCCUCUUUGCCGAGUGUUUUUUUUGACACUCGGCAAAGAGGGGGCUUUGCCGAGUGUUUUUUAUUUGACACUCGGCAAGCCCCGAUUUGCCGAGUGUAUUUUUUUUGCCGAGUGUUUUUAGCUUGGCACUCGGCAAAGAGCUUGUUUGCCGAGUGCUCGCAAAAAAACACUCGGCAAAAAAAAUACACUCGGCAAUUUUUAGCUUUCCCGUAGUGCCUUAAAAGAAUCUCUCCCUGAUAUUCACGUGUGUGUAGAAGUAAGGUACAGGGGUUUAUCCUAAGGGCACCUUGAUCGAUAUUCAAAACUUAAGCUAUUUAGAUCGAAGAAAUUCUACUUGUUUCCAUGUCGCCCUUUCUUUAGAGUAGUUACUUCCAUGAACCUUGUAAACUCAAUAGUCUGAUUGCGAGUGAUUCGACCCUUUCGAUCAAGAUUCUUUAUCGGGUGUUUGGUAUAAGAUCGAAUUUGAUUUGAAGGUCACUCAUCCCAAUUGCCUAUGCUGGAGCUUGAAAAAUUCCUUAGCUCUAAGACAAGAAUGAUGUUGGGGUAGCUGAAAAUUGCAGGGAAAUUCUAACUCAUGGAGUGCGAUGCUUGAAAGACACUCUCACGGAUAAUAAGUGAUGAUCGUACGAAAAGGUAUGUUUAAAUGGGUUUUUCUAGAAUAUUCUUGCUCAAGGUUUACUUAAUUUGUGAGUUGUACAGUGCCGAUUGAAAAAUAUGCUUGUUUUGUACAAUUUAAUGAUGCUUUAUGCUACUGCCAUCGUGAUAUGAGAAUGAUGACACAAUGUUGUAUCUUAUGGUGCAAUGGCUUAAAUUUGAUGUUUUGAUGCACACAUGAGUCGUAUGAUUGCAAUGACAAUGCACAUGGGGAUGACUCGUGCAAUAAUGCAAUGGUGCACAUGGCAUGAUGGAUUAUGAUGCUAACUUGAUGAUGCACAAAUCAUGAUGUAUAGUUGAUGGUGCACAUGGUUAUGCUCAUGAUGGGUGCAUAUAGUAUGAUGCACAUGCACAUGAGUGUAUGCAUGGUGCACAUGUUGGGAUGCAUGUUAGUAUGCCUCGCGUCACACCACUAACACUCGUUAUUUGUCAGAGUAGAUAUCAGAGACUAAGACACAUAUUCAGUUUGGGGAAUAGAGGUUCUAGUGGGGUUGCAUUCACACAUACUAAGACACCAGCGCGCUCCGAAUGGAUCGUUCGCAUGGCUGCAGCACACACGAAACUCUAAGUUCCAUUGCGGCAGCAUAGGUUAUGGAACAACAACACCACAAGAGGAUUGUAUAGACAACAACCCGAAUAGCAUGAGUGGCUCGAAUGGAGAUAGAAAACAGCCACAAGUUCUGAUGCAUAUGUUGUUAGCUAACCAAAAGAUCCUAAGGUGCAUAUGACAUGCUAAUGGUAAUGUGAUGACUAUGCGUAUGAAUUAAUGUAGAGUAUGCAAGGUGUGAAUACUGCAUUGAAAUUUAUAUAUCCUUCUCAUUUAUUUAUAUUUGAUUGAGCAAGAAUGAGAACACAAGAUUCAUGGGUUGGGAGACCAAGGUAAUCAACAUAUAAAGGGGUAUCCAGGUCACUGAGAGGAUCAACUAAUCAAGAUCACAUAGCUAUUGAAUCAAGGACAGAUAAGUUCUAGCUGAGCAGAGUGCAUGGAAGUAUCAAGAAGACCACAAUGGAGUUUCACUUAACUUUUCCAAGAAAACACCUCUCUCAUUUCAAGUGUCAAAGAGGAGUGAAAAUGGAGAUUAACUAGUAGUGCACAGAUUCUGUCAACAUUCUGGACAGAAAAUUCAAAAAUUCAUAUCUCCCAAACUAAUCAUCCAACAAUGCUCAAAUUUUGACAGUAGGUGCAUAUGACAGUGAGCCACAACUUUGUUAUAAUGUGAUUGCACAGAUUUCAUAAUUAAGGUUGCUGAAAAUGAAGGUUUCUGUCAGCGGUCAUUUCUGAAUUUUCUGAAACAGUGCAUCACCAAAUGGGUCAUAACUUUUGAUCCACAAUUCCAACAUUAGCAAAUAAACAAACUGCAGCCAUCUGCAGAAAAAUUCUUACAACUUUCGUAUUAAACUCCAAAGGCAAUUCAGAUUGCAUCCAACAUUAAUCUGAGCAAACAUAUUUCAGCACGUUUCUGAAAUCUGGGGACAGCAACUUUGAAUUUUUAUAAUUCGAAACCUACAUGUCCAAAAUUUCUCAAAUUUUUAGAAGGAACUUAAAAUUUAAUGGCCUACAAAGUUCAGUCAUAGAUCUGUCCAGAUUUUGAAAUUAAACGGGCGUAAAAUUAUUUCUACUAUCGGCAGUACUAAAUUGAGCGUAUCUCACAAACUACACCAUGGAAUGGCAUGAAAUUUUUACAGCAGUUUGACAUAAAAAUUAUCUACGAGUUCCCUAUUAUCAAGGUUUUGAGGAAAAAUUUGUUUGGUGGCAAAAACAUGUAUAGACAGCAGCAUGGUCCAGAAUGACAGAAUUUAGUUACAUGUUCAAAGCAAGCAUCCGUGCAACAUGCAGCUAGGAAAUAUCCAAAAACACCAAAAGCAAAAGAAUGACAUCAUGCAUGCAUGUCUUAUCCGUCCUCACCCAAAUUUUGCCAACAAAAGCGGCAAUAUCUGUGGAUUUUCGAUGGCACAGGUACGUACUCUCCCUAUAAUAUACUUGUCGAUUUCUACGAUUUGUUUUUAGUCAUUUCGUGGAUAAUGUAUCUGUAGAAAAUUCACAAGAUAUAUCUACUUCUGGACCCUUCGUGCCAGCACUCACGAACGGCCCCCAUGUGUCCUACGCCACACGGGUAACGCAUAUGCAGUUUCCCACAUAUUCACAUAUACAUUACCAUCCACUAUAGUGAUGGCAUCCAAACGUUUAAUACUGAAUGGGCAGCGAUUCAUUCAUCACCGAGGCAACGUAUUCACUUCUUGUACCAUCACCUUAGAGGAAAGUCCAUGGGUAAACGUGUCCCGUAGUACACGGCCAUGAUCAUCAUCGCACAACUUGAUGAACUUUACCUUGCUUACCUUGGCGUUGAAUGUUGUUACAGAAAGUAAGUUGCAGAAAGUAAAUGUGCUGGAAGUCAAAAUAAAAAUAUAUUACCACCUAAAAUAGACAUACAUCAUAGUAGGGCUUACCAGCUAUCUUUUCCUAAUUCCUUAAGGGGAUCUUAAACAUAUCAAGUUGGAAAAUCAUUUUUAGUUUUGAAAAAGUAAAUUAGUGUCAUGUUAGUAUUAUACUUGGUGUAUUUUGGCUCUGAUACCAGCAGUGGCAGAACCGCGCAAAUUAAACCAGCUUAAGUACGCUAACCAUCCUCUUAAUGGUUAAUGUAGUCAAUACACACUUAAAAUGGCAUAAUCUGAUAGUCUGUCGGGUAAAAUCCCGAUUCAACCAUUGAAUGUCUCAAUUGAAAUGAUACAACGCAAGUCUCACAUGAAGGUGAGGAUAUAUAUACAAACAUCAUAGAGUUUACAUAAAUUAAGGUACAACAGUUUAACUUUUACAACCAAAAUUCAUAUACAAGAAUGAUACAGAGGUUUUGAAUGCACAGCCGAAAUAAACCUGAAACUAGCAAAAAAUAAUAUAGACAGAAACUAGAAACAUCGACAAGCAGGGGACAACACAUCGAGCCCACCAAUGUGCCAUCACGGAGAAGCAACACCACCUGAAAUAGGGUCACAACAACAACCAUGAGUAUACAAAUACUCAGCAAGGCUUACCCGACUAUGGUAUAUACUUAGCUGACUCCUAAUAUGCAAGGCUUUUUGGCUGCUAGGUUUGUUUUCCCAAAUAGCAACUAAAUGUGUAUCCUUAGUUUCAGUAUUUUAGCAAGUUUUAAGUGAGGCUAACUAUUCUUUAGAUUUGCGUAGAUACCAAAUUUAGUGUGGAAAAAAAUUAAUUAGAUAAACAACAUUAAUAACCAUCAUCAUCAUCAUCCUAUUCCACUUCUUACAACGAUGCAAUGUAGUGAUCAAGGUACUCUAUUCUGAGAGGUACGGUGAAUUGAUUCGAUUUUAUCCCUCAACACCAAACAACACCCAAGCACAGGGCGCAAUAUACAACACCCCAAAUAGGAUGUAGGGUAUUACGCUACUCUGGCAAACCGAACCUGUAUAAAUUCAUAUCUUGUGCCCUCACUUUUACCUUCGAGUUUCAGGUCCGGUGAUUCCCGACCAACCAAUCUACUACCUCGGGAUACCCCUCGGUAGGUUGCCGCGUAUAAAACACCAACAUCUAGCACUCCAGGUUGGGGUACCUUGGGAUACCCCUCGGUAGGUUGCCGGGUAUAAAACACCGACAUCUAGCAUGUCAGGUAGGGGUGAUCGUCGAGAUCAUCGGGCGAGCUUAAAGGACCUCAUCAUCAAGAUCAAUCUACUUGACAAGAUGCAAGUUGCUGAGUUGGAGUUCCGAGUAGACAAAUCUACUUCGAGACAGAAUCAAUGCGCUCUGCGUUCCAGUCGAAGACCGAGUCGAUUUCCGCCGUAGGCCACUGCAUACGGCUCGUCGAUCAAGGUAGAGGUAAAUCUAUUUUGACUUGGGAGAUCAGGCAGAUCGUGGGACUCACGCCAUAAUUCCCAAGAUGACAAAGAUCUGUUACAGUCACGAGCGGAUUGAGGUAAAUAAUCAGCUCUAACUACUCUUCAUGAAAAGCAAUUUGAGGGAUUAGUGCUACACUCACAUGGAAGGCUACCGCAAGACCUCAAAAUUAUAGCCUAACGUACAUAGAAGAUGUACGCGAGCACUGCUACCCUGAUGUCCAGCCGCAUCAAGUCACUGAUGACUACUUUGACUACUCUUCUCGACUAGAAAACUAGUCCAGG